rnacentral:rRNA from 1 species
AGCGAACGCUGGCGGCAGGCCUAACACAUGCAAGUCGAACGAACUCUUCGGAGUUAGUGGCGGACGGGUGAGUAACACGUGGGAACGUGCCUUUUGGUUCGGAAUAACUCAGGGAAACUUGUGCUAAUACCGAAUGUGCCCUUCGGGGGAAAGAUUUAUCACCAUUAGAGCGGCCCGCGUCUGAUUAGCCAGUUGGUGAGGUAACGGCUCACCAAGGCGACGAUCAGUAGCUGGUCUGAGAGGAUGACCAGCCACACUGGGACUGAGACACGGCCCAGACUCCUACGGGAGGCAGCAGUGGGGAAUCUUGCGCAAUGGGCGAAAGCCUGACGCAGCCAUGCCGCGUGAAUGAUGAAGGUCUUAGGAUUGUAAAAUUCUUUCACCGGGGACGAUAAUGACGGUACCCGGAGAAGAAGCCCCGGCUAACUUCGUG